CUCCAACCUACGCACCAACUGCACCCGUUGCUGCACAAGGGUUGCCAAAUCUGGGAGCAGAUGAGUGAGGGCACUGGUCCUUUCCCCCUGCCCAGAAGAACACAGGUCCUUCCCCCCUUGCCCGGGCUAAGGAUACCCAACCCCCAAGAAAAGAGACUGAGGAAGAAAGAGAAGAGGAAGUUGAGAAUGGUGAAAUUCAGGAGGAAUCAGGUGAAAUGGACAAGCAGACAGUCCAAAAGAGUAUUUCAGUAUGUGAAUUGGCAGAAAGAAAAGAGCAGAAGAUUUUUAAAGAGCCGCGUGAGAUAGAGCCAGGAAGCAAUCCAAAAGAGUGAGCUGGAUGUGGCUUCUUGAGUUCUAGAAGCAGCACAAUGCAAGGAUGUGAAUUGAUAGAAAGAAACAGAAGGGAAGGCUUUGAGAGCCGCAUGGGACAGAACUGUUAAAAAAAAGAGACAAUUAAAACCCGAGGGGUUAAAAUCCCUAGGAUUACAAUAUUGACCAUUGAGAAAAUCUGCAAGAUACAUGCCCUCAGGGCAGCGGACAAUACUGAUGUUGCAAUUGAGGCAGCUAAAACUCCACUUUGAUGGCCCCACCCCACCGAGUGUACGACCUCCUGGAGUCAUCCGACGCCCAGGACCACGGACCUCCAAGCACCCUAAAUCAGAAUCCUUCUUUCGAAGAGGACCUGGCCAAAAUAAUUAGGGGUUUGUCUUGAAACAGCCAGAGAGGAGGAUGGCACUUAGAGCCGGCAAGCAGCCAGCAGCCAAAAAUGUAAUCCCGGAGGGUGUCCACGGGAGGGGCAGAAGACGCCUAGGGAAGAAACCAGUGCGCCAUCUGCAGGCAAGAGGGUCACUGGAAAAUGGAAUGCCCACAGGCCCCACGCCCGGCACACCCCACCCCCAGAGGCUGGGAACAAUAAGAUUUCUCAAAAAUGAUUUCUUCUCAUCUCUGUUCUUGCUCAAAGACUGUUGCAGCAAAGUAAGUGAACUAACUGUUUCUAACAUUCAUUCAUGCAAGUAACAGGACAUCACCUUUUUUUUUUCUCCUUGUGCCAGGCGCUUGGAGUAGUUUAUCUUUUGGCAGCUAUCUCAGAAGGACACUGCUGCAUUCAGCCAGCUACUCUGACCUGCUACUGCCUGGAGCCAAUUAGGAUUUACAGUCAAGCGACAUAAAUCCGAAGGCCAAGGGUUACCCACCCCCUUGCCCCAAGCACUAACCUGGAAAAGUGACUUUCUUAAAAAGCAAGUGAACGCUUUCUGUGAACUGUGUCAAAAGUAUUUUUCUUUUUAAGGUGCAAUUUUACUCUGAAAAAGGAGCCGCAGCAUAACAUAGGAACUGAUACUUUGAGGAAUUUGAAACUUUGCCAGAAGCAAGGAGUGCGUUGUUCUUUCUACAGACACUGGCAAAUGAACUGAAAUUUGCAACAUAGCUUAAAGCUCUGAAAAAAAUAGAGCAGAGAAAAAGACUUUUAAAAAUCUCAGCUGGCAAAAAACUUAACCCAAGAAAAAAAGGACUGUCAAAAUAGGGUUGCCAUGUUAACCUCCUGCACUGUUCCACGUGUGAAGUCUUCCUGCCACAUACCCUAGAACUAUACCUAUGUGCAAAAUGUUAUCUAUCAAUGCGCAGUCGCUGCCGUGUCUGUUUUUCUCUUCUCUUGACAGGUGAACCGGCCAGAGACUGUCCUGUUAUCUACAGCUGUUAAGGACGCCGGCAUCUGUGACACCUGAUCUAUACCGGCCCCUUCGACUCACCCCAGACAUUGCUCCAGCAUUGUUGGAAGGGACCCAAGAUGCCCAACGCCCGUGAGAUGACCACCCUGCCUUCCUGCAUCACGCUGACGCUUGGCACGGCUCCAGAAUCCAGCAUGGACUGAAAGAGGACAUUUUCUCAUUUCCUUUCCUUUCCUUUUGCAUAACUGAACUUUAUAGAAGGUUGCAGGGCCCCUGGAUAGCUUUACAACACCCCUGCAGAGGAGGGUAUUUGUGUGGGACGUUCAAUCAGGGAAAUUAUGCCCCAGCCCGCUUCCACCUGGCAGAGCUCCACCCAGAGCCUCCAGAACUUAACUGAAGCCCCCCUUGCACCACAGCACCGACUUGGUAAUAACCCUGUGCACAAAUGGCACAGAUAAGGCUAGGUUCACCGAAUUACUGGCUGGCUUUGUGUCAAUAAAUCAAAGAGAGCCAGUGACAAUCUGCAAUUGUACCUUCCCAGCCCAAACCAUUACAUCUGAGUCCACGCCAGGAAGUCUUUCUGGCUUGGUGUGGCCUUCAGAAGGGGAAGGUAGUGUCUCUGCUCACAGACGUGUGUCAGGCAGGCUUAUGGAAGGCAAGCUUCUCAUAUCCACCCACAGGGAUGGUAUGGAGUGUGCUUCCCAGCCUACCCAAUUCCUACCAUGGGGUUUCUGACCAGAUACCCACUGCACCCCGUCAAAGGAGACACUCGGCUGACCUAGCAACAAUUGCAGGAGGCAGCUCCCAGCUCCCAAAUUUGGGACAGCAUCAGUGACCAACCUUGGGACGAGCCGUGAAGAAGGCUGUCCAAAGAUUGAGAGUUGGGAAUGAAGAUGAGGACAGGUGACCCCGCCUAGGCCCAAAGUCCCCCCCCCCCCAAACCAGGCCUCAAACUGUCCAAAAUUCCUUUUGUCUUCUAAAAAUCCAAAACAGCUUUUCUCUGCUCUUCUCUGAUUUUCUCACAAGAUGCUGUGGCAAGGGCAAACCGUUACUUUUUAUCAGUACAAGAAUGCUUCAAAAAGCUAAUGAAUAGACUCUGUCAGAGCAGGCCUGCGACUGACUUUUAUCUCACUCUAGUUAGAAUCAUAGAAUCAUAGAGUUGGAAGAGACCACAAGGGCCACCGAGUCCAACCCCCUGCCAAGCAGGAAACACCAUCAGAGCACUCCUGACAUAUGGUUGUCAAGCCUCUGCUUAAAGACCUCCAAAGAAGGAGACUCCACCACACUCCUUGGCAGCAAAUUCCACUGUCGAACAGCUCUUACUGUCAGGAAGUUCUUCCUAAUGUUUAGGUGGAAUCUUCUUUCUUGUAGUUUGCAUCCAUUGCUCCGUGUCCGCUUCUCUGGAGCAGCAGAAAACAACCUUUCUCCCUCCUCUAUGUGACAUCCUUUUAUAUAUUUGAACAUGGCUAUCAUAUCACCCCUUAACCUCCUCUUCUCCAGGCUAAACAUGCCCAGCUCUCUUAGCCGUUCCUCAUAAGGCAUCGUUUCCAGGCCUUUGACCAUUUUGGUUGCCCUCCUCUGGACACGUUCCAGUUUGUCAGUGUCCUUCUUGAACUGUGGUGCCCAGAACUGGACACAGUACUCCAGGUGAGAUCUGACCAGAGCAGAAUACAGUGGCACUAUUACUUCCCUUGAUCUAGAUGCUAUACUCCUAUUGAUGCAGCCCAGAAUUGCAUUGGCUUUUUAGCUGCCGCGUCACACUGUUGGCUCAUGUCAAGUUUGUGGUCAACCAAGACUCCUAGAUCCUGUUCACAGGUACUGCUCUCAAGCCAGGUGUCACCCUUCGAGUAUUUGUGAGUCUCGUUUUUUUGCCCGAGUGCAAUACUUUACAUUUCUCCUGUUAAAAUUCAUCUUGUUUGUUUUGGCCCAGUUCUCUAAUCUGUCAAGGUCGUUUUGAAGUGUGAUCCUGUCCUCUGGGAGUUAGCCACCCCUCCCAGUUUGGUGUCAUCUGCAAAUUUGAUCAGGAUGCCCUUGAGUCCAUCAUCCAAGUCGUUGAUAAAGAUGUUGAAUAAGACCGGGCCCAAGACAGAACCCUGUGGCACCCCACUAGUCCCUCUUCUCCAGGAAGAGUUGCAACAUCUUUGGACAUGCUGAACUACUCUCAUUCCCCCUUUCCUGGGAAGGGUGCCAAGAGGCCACAAUAGUCCCAAGACAGCUUUCUGUACAUGCUCAGGAACCUCAACAUGGGGCAGGACUCUGGAAGGAGGAGGAGAAAGGAGGAGGGAACUGGAAGGGGUAUAUAUGCUUGUGCACAUGAUUGUGAACUCGUGCAUGCUUUUUGUGACUUACCACACUUGCUCCUUCUACCAGUUCAUGGAUGGUAGAAAUAAAAAGCCUUUUCUCCG